rnacentral:rRNA from 1 species
CAGGCCUAACACAUGCAAGUCGAACGAGAAGCCGGGCUUCGGCCCGGUGGACAGUGGCGCACGGGUGAGUAACGCGUGGGAACCUGCCCAAGAGUGGGGAAAAACGGUUGGAAACGGCCGCUAAUUCCGCAUACGCCCUACGGGGGAAAGGCUUCGGCCGCUCUUGGAUGGGCCCGCGUCCGAUUAGCUUGUUGGUGAGGUAAUGGCUCACCAAGGCGACGAUCGGUAGCUGGUCUGAGAGGACGAUCAGCCACAUUGGGACUGAGACACGGCCCAGACUCCUACGGGAGGCAGCAGUGGGGAAUAUUGGACAAUGGGCGAAAGCCUGAUCCAGCCAUGCCGCGUGAGUGAUUUGAAGGCCCUAGGGUUGUAAAGCUCUUUCGGCGGGGAAGAUGAUGACGGUACCCGCAGAAGAAGCCCCGGCUAACUCCGUGCCAGCAGCCGCGGUAAUACGGAGGGGGCUAGCGUUGCUCGGAAUCACUGGGCGUA